rnacentral:rRNA from 1 species
UACGAAGGGGGCUAGCGUUGUUCGGAAUUACUGGGCGUAAAGCGCACGUAGGCGGACAUUUAAGUUGGAGGUGAAAGCCUUGGGCUCAACCCAAGAAUUGCCUUUGAUACUGGAUGUCUCGAGACCGGGAGAGGUGAGUGGAAUUCCGAGUGUAGAGGUCGAAAUUCGUAGAUAUUCGGAAGAACACCAGUGGCGAAGGCGGCUCACUGGCCCGGUUCUGACGCUGAGGUGCGAAAGCGUGGGGAGCAAACAGGG